CUAGAAACGAGGAAGAAGAAACGAACGUAAGCAGAAUUCUGACAUUGCCAACGGUCGAAGAACAUGAUAGUAGUACCACUCCGGUUUGCUGCUCUACCACUUGGAUGGGUCAGAACACUCACUGUCCUCCUCCUUGUGUUCGACAUCCUGUCCCUCACUGAGGCGGUGUACGGCUAUGUUAGGAAAGAAAACUUCUUCCUACAAAUUAAACCUUUCCCUUCGAGGAGCCACCUAAUAAGUCAGACUACAGCCGACCAAAUUCUACUUUUCUACAUUGCCAUCACAAGUAUUGCCGUUAUCCUCGAUAUCUACCUCAUCACCCAGCUA